AAGGNCUAGCCUGCCCAAUGAGGAUUUAAAUGGCCGCAGUAUUUUGACUGUGCAAAGGUAGCAUAAUUAUUAGUUUUUUAAUUGAAAGCUUGUAUGAAAGGCUGGACGAGAUAAAAUCUGUCUUUAUUUAAAUUAAAAUAGAAUUUAACUUUUAAGUCAAAAGGCUUAAAUAUUUAUAAAAGACGAGAAGACCCUAUAGAUCUUUAUUUAAUUAAAAUUUUGAUAAUUUAGGAUUACUUUAGUUUAAAGUUUUAAUUAAAUUUUAUUGGGGUAAUAUAAAGAUUAAAUUAAUUCUUUUUAUUUAUUACAUUAAUUUAUGAAUAUUUGAUCCAUUUUUAGUGAUUAUAAGAUUAAGUUACCUUAGGGAUAACAGCGUAAUUUUUUUGGAGAGCCCAUAUCGAUAAAAAAGUUUGCGACCUCGAUGUUGGAUUAAAAAUUAGUUUGGGUGCAGAAGCUCAAAAAUUUGGUCUGUUCGACCAUU
rnacentral:rRNA from 1 species